AUGGCGCCCUUCUCAGGGGAACUGCCUAACGUCAGCCCCUGCUCAAGGUGCUGGGGGAAGCGAAGCCCGGAUAUCCGGUCGAGGGUCGCCGACUUCCGGGCAGAGCAGAUCCGCGGGAGCCCGGAAAUGAGGAGUGAGCGCCGGCAGGCGGCAGGGCAGCUGCCCAGGCUGCGCCCUCCCCUCCCCGGCUGCCGCGGCGUCUGGAGCACGAACACGCCAUUCCGUCCCGGGGCCCGCGUGUAA
rnacentral:lncRNA from 1 species